GUGAGGAAUAUUGGUCAAUGGGCGGAAGCCUGAACCAGCCAUCCCGCGUGGAGGAAGACGGCCCUAUGGGUUGUAAACUUCUUUUCAAGGGGAAGAAAGUUCGCGACGUGUCGCGAUUUGCCGGUACCUUUGGAAUAAGCAUCGGCUAACUCCGUGCCAGCAGCCGCGGUAAUACGGAGGAUGCGAGCGUUAUCCGGAUUUAUUGGGUUUAAAGGGUGCGUAGGCCGAUCGAUAAGUCAGCGGUGAAAUACCAUGGCCCAACCAUGGAACUGCCGUUGAUACUGUCGGUCUUGAAUAUGGUCAAGGUAGGCGGAAUGUGUAAUGUAGCGGUGAAAUGCUUAGAUAUUACACAGAACACCGAUUGCGAAGGCAGCUUACUGGUCCAUUAUUGACGCUGAGGCACGAAAGCGUGGGGAUCGAACAGGAUUAGAUACCCGAGUAGUCC
rnacentral:rRNA from 1 species